UACGUAGGGUGCAAGCGUUGUCCGGAAUUAUUGGGCGUAAAGAGCUCGUAGGCGGUUUGUCGCGUCUGCUGUGAAAACUCGGGGCUUAACCCCGGGCCUGCAGUGGGUACGGGCAGACUAGAGUGUGGUAGGGGAGACUGGAAUUCCUGGUGUAGCGGUGAAAUGCGCAGAUAUCAGGAGGAACACCGAUGGCGAAGGCAGGUCUCUGGGCCACUACUGACGCUGAGAAGCGAAAGCGUGGGGAGCGAACAGG
rnacentral:rRNA from 1 species